AUGCCGGCCGUGUCCUUGAGCUCCCUCAAGCUCCAGGCCCUGCUGCCCCUGCUGCCCCUCUCAGGGUCCGGGUUUGAUUUCAGGAAUGUGAACAUGUACUGGGUCCGCCAUAGACCUAGACAGGGGCUGGAGUUCGUGACAGAGAUCAGCUAUGAUCUUUCCAGAACCUACUACGCCCCAUUGGUCAAGGGCCGGGUCACUGCGGCCGUGACCCUGCUGGAGUGCGGGGGGCACGUCCAGCCCCCCGGGGGGUCCCUGCGCCUCCUCUGCCGAGGGGCCGGGUUCAGUCUUGGGAGUGUUGCAAUGGGAUGGAUGCGCCAGAGACCCGGGCAGGGGCUGGAAUUCAUCGCCAGUAUCAGCUACAAUGGUUGUAGCACCAGCUACGCGCCAUCAGUCAAGGGCCGGUUCACGAUCUCCAGGGACAACAGGCAGAGCUCGGUGGCGCUGACCAUGAACAACCUCAAGGACGAGGAUUCCGCCUACUAUUUCUGUGCC